rnacentral:lncRNA from 1 species
AGUGAAUCUACUUGAAAGACAUCUUUAGAAUAAAAAUAUACCUUCAGCAUGUAGUCAAAACCUGAGCUGCUGGGAAGAAUGAAUGAGAAAUAUCUCGUGGGGCCAAAAUAUACAUCCAGUGUAAACUACAAUUUCAAACUAUCUAAAGGCAGAUCUCCAGAAAGAUUUAAUGGAGGAGAGAAGAGCAAGAAGAGAUGGAUGUUCACAGCAUAUCCCAGAUUCUGUGUUCUUGGAAUUAAGAGAAGAAAAGCAAAAGGCCUACUCCCUGCCCUCAGCUACAAUGUAAGCAGCCCCUCCCACUCUCAAAUCCAUGCCUGGAUGGGAACACCAUGAUGAGGAAGACCCUUCAACUACAAGCAAAAUAAACCUAUCCUUCCUUAAGAUUCUUCUGUCAAAUUUCUUGUCAUAUUUUUGGUAAAAUAAACUAAUGUGAAAGAAUGG